rnacentral:misc_RNA from 1 species
UUAAGUUCAGCGGGUAUCCCUACCUGAUCCGAGGUCAACCUUUGAUAAAUUUAGGGGUUCUGGCAGUCAGACACUCAAACUCCAAGGCGAGAAGAUUUACUACGCUAGAAGCUGAAUGCCACCGCCAAUACUUUUGAGAUGCACCACAGUGGUGGCAUCCAAUACCAAGCAAUGCUUGAGGGUUGCAAUGACGCUCGAAC